rnacentral:lncRNA from 12 species
CACAGCAGAUUGGAAACCCCAGAGUUCAUCAGUGAACACCCUGCUCCUCCAGAGAACUGCAUGGACCCCUGAACUGGAAGAACUGGGCUGGUGAACAGAGGACAGAUCAGGGUGGGUAUUCAGGAUUAAGAUGGUGAGCUCUGCAAGGUAAGGAUCUUGGCUGCCUUUCUAAAAGCUCCUCACUCAGUGGAAACAGGGCUGGCCUGACAGUUUCCAGAAACUGCCUG